UGUUUGUGUUUUCUUGUGAUUCUAUCAAACUUCCUACACUUAAUUUUGUAAAAAAGUUUCUUAAUCAAUUAUUGUAUUAUUGGCGUAAGUCUACGGUCUAAAAAAGGAUCAAAUAUAUUAUCUUACUCUUUGAAGCUGAGGGUUCAAUAAUAGAAACGAUGAGUAGGCCCAUACCUGCUAGCGAACUAGAAGGUUCAAAAGAUUCAACCCACAUCAUCUCACAAUUAGAAGAACAAAGGUCGAACUCUCCUGCCUUGAAACCAGAUUCAGCCUUAGAGUCCUGAUGUUCAAGAUCCACAGAGGCCGCUAGCUUAGCCUCAAGAGAAAAGUUUGAUCACG